AGCACCUUAAUCUAUUGAAAUACUUUCUAAUUGCACACAAAUCGCAUCUCGCAAUGGAAAAAAACUAAAGAUGUAAAUAUAUAAACAAUGCCUUUUUUGUACACUCAAGUAUUACUAUUGCAAAUAUCCAAAACUAAUAAUCAUUGACUUAACAAAAACUCAAAAAUUUGUUGGACUUGAAUAGAAUGCCUAACAUAUUUUAAAGCUAUUAAUAAAUAUUUAGAAAAAUUAAAUUUUAGAAUUAUUAUUCAAAAAUUGAACUGUAUAGAAUUCAAGAGAAUAAAUCCUUAUAGAAAACUUCAGAAAUCUCAAAUGUUUUUAUCGAAGACAUCAAAGUAUCACUGAAAAGGUUCAAACAGUGUACCCUUCUAUAUCAAAACAAAAAAUCUCAAGCCCAUACUAAAAAUUGAACAGUCCAAGAUUCAAUUUAAAUAGUGCUACAAUACAAUGUUUUAGAGAGAGAAUCAAACAAUAUAGGUCAAAAUAUGCAUGCAACAAUCGUGAAGUGCCAAUAUAUGCACAAGAUUGAAAAAAACAAUAAUAAUAAUAAUUAUAUGAAAUAGCUAUAAAAAAAUCAAGUUAAUGUUUAGAAACCACAAACCAAAGUGGUGUUUUUGAGUUUGAGCACCAUAAGCAUCACCACUGCCAAACUAAUAGAAUUUUCAAGCAUUAUAAUCGAUGUACCAACCUUGUGAUAGAAAGAGAGAGAGAGAGAGAUGAUUGUGUUGGGAAUUUACUUAGUUAUGCACAGCAAAAAAUAUAAUAAUUUUCAUUUCUCACCAUGGAUCUAUUUUGUGUUUAAAUAGAAAUUGUGAUAGAAGGUUAUACUUUGAUGAAUUCUACAAACUCUUUUGCUUUUUUUGAACUUGAAUAAUUACGAUCUGUAAUCCACAGCAGUUUAAUUGUCCAAUCUCCAAUAAAAAUUUACAUAGAGAAGAAGAUUGAGAGAACUAGAAUUUUCUUUAAUCCGGUUCGAUAUUUAAUUAAUUCAAUUAAUUAAAUUGUCCAUUAAUUAAUUAAUUCGAGCCUAUCAACAAGCAACUCAAUUAAUUAAUCAUUCAACGCUUGUUAAUUAAUUAAUUGGUAAAUCUCAUUCUUCUAAUUCUCCUUUUAUGUGUAACCCAUCAGGCUCUCAAUUACGAUAUUUAACGAUAUGAAUCAUUAUUUUGAUCGAAUCAAAAUCGAUAAAUUAAAAAUAUCCCCUUUCUAAUUUAUCAUCAAAAUACAUUUGUUGUCCCAAACUGACAUAUAGUAAUGUACUAGGGCAAUAUAUGUGACGAAAAAUGUCACGUGGUAUGACAACAUCAAAUUUGUUCGUUUACUAUGAAACUAUAAUCAUUUUGUCAAUAUAAUCCGAUCAAUUACAAGAUAUGGACAUGUAUCAAUUUUAAUUAUUGAUCAUAUUUUUCAUUCCACUAUAAAGUGUAUAUAAGUCGAAAACUCAUUUUCGACUUAUGAAUAUACAUUGACCAAGGAUUUCAUUAUCAACUCAACUAAAUGAAAUAUAGAUUAUAAUCUCUUACUAUUUAAAAGUGACGAAUUCUCUAUUGAUCAUUCACAAUAUUCAUAUGAUUCUUGAGAUACCCAAACGAUAUCGUAUCAGUGGGCCUUGGCAAAGAAACAUCCAACAUCACCAAAAUAUAACUGUACUCAUAUAAGGCACUAUGAUUACCUCAAGUUGAAGAACAAAUUCUACUACCAAGCAUUAAAGAUUAACCACUGACACAUAGAUAGUUAUCCAUGUGGAAUCUCUCCAGUGGGUCUCCAAUGUUUUGUUCUUUAAUAGAACAUUCACAUGUUCAUUUAAAUGUCACUACGCUUUAACUCAUGAGAUCAACUAAUUACUUCACAAGUAAGAAGUGUUACACUUAAUGAUCUAUUCGUAAUAAAAAUAUUCUUAUUUCGUUAUUACUUACGAUCAUUGAUUAUUUAAGAUUCAGUCAUAUGUAAUUUGUAUCUCACAAUCACAACUCAUUCUGAUUAACAAAUUACAAAAAUUUAAAUCUACGGACUCUAUUAUUUAAUUUAAUUUAUUAUUAAUAGUAUUUAUAUCCAAAAUUGAUUGAACUUAGGGCAUAACACUUACAGAUCGCAACUCACAAUUGGCGAUUGUUCUAUUGGCUCUCUAUUAGAGGAACCCAAAAUGCAAAUUCAAGCACAAUUUAUUGAUAGAUUGAUUGGAAAAUGAAAUGUCCUCAAAGGAAUCAGUCAACAACGAAUAGAAUUUGCAAAGAUCAAUAAUCAUACAGAUAUACCAAGAACUUUCAGAUCUAGGGUUUUUAUAAUUCUUGAUGCAAAAGGAAAAACUAAAUUUCCUCAACCCUUAUACCUUGCAUGAUUUCAAUAGGUAUUCUUGCAUUUUAGCCAUGCUUUUAUGUUCGCAUAUUUCUUGGUAAAUGCUUCUUUGAUUUGUGAGUUCAAGAAGUUACACACUCAAUUGUCAACUACCAUUUCAGGAGCAAUAUUAGUUCAUUUUCAGGUGAAGCCUUCUUUAGUUAAUAAGUUUAGAGAAGCUCAAUCUCAAGACCCAAUAUUGAGAACGUUGAAAGUAGAAGUUAAUUAGUGCUGGAUUGAGAACAAAUUUCCUCAACCCUUAUACCUUGCAUGAUUUCAAUAGGUAUUCUAGAAUUUUAGCGCGUGCUUUUAUGUUCGCAUAUUUCAUAGAGACAAAUAAAAAAUAUUAAUUCAUGUUUGAGAACCAUUCUAUACUUUUUUCUCGAACUCAUUUCGAACUAUACAUUCUCUCAAUAAAAUAAUUUAUACAUAAACUCAACACUUUUUUCUACUUUUUAAUCACGUAUUCUUGAAAAAAAAAAUCAAUAUUACAAACUCAUUUCCCCCCAAAAUAGGGUUCAAGCAAAGCCUAGAAGAAUUAUGGACAUUGGUGAAUGAGAAUGAAUAAAUAUUAUCUUGCUAUGAAUUAUACUAAAAUGGAAUAAUAAAGGGGAUUCAAAGUCUUAGUGCAUAUUUUUGUCAAAUUUACAUAAUCUUCUCGAUUGCUCAUUAUGUAAUUAGUUAGACAAUUAUCAUAAAUUCACAAACACAAGUUGGCUAUUGGAUUAGAGUUAUCAUCAAUUACAAUUACAUUAAGUACAUAGUCUCCAUGGAAGAUACUUUAUUAAUCACUAUAUUAUUUAUUUACGGUGUCAUAAACAUGAGGGAUCUCGUCCAUCAGUAUACUUAAUCUAUAAUCACAUCAAAAGGAUAUAGAAAAGAAAUUAGAAAAAGUAAAAUAAACAAACAAUUGGA
rnacentral:lncRNA from 1 species